rnacentral:rRNA from 1 species
UUGCUAGUAAUCGUAGGUCAGCAUACUACGGUGAAUACGUUCCCGGGCCUUGUACACACCGCCCGUCAAACCAUGAGAGUUGGCAACACCCGAAGUCGGUAGUCUAACCGCAAGGAGGACGCCGCCGAAGGUGGGGGUUGAUGAUUAGGGUUAAGUCGUAACAAGGUAAC